UGGACAUAUCACAUUGAAACACCAUUCCCCAUACCAUCACUGAAGUUAAGCAAUAUCGAGCCUAGUCAGUACCUAGAUGGUUGACCGCUUGGGAAUACCAGGUGCUGUUA